rnacentral:misc_RNA from 1 species
AAAAUGCGAUAAGUAAUGUGAAUUGCAGAAUUCAGUGAAUCAUCGAAUCUUUGAACGCACAUUGCGCCCCUUGGUAUUCCAUGGGGCAUGCCUGUUCGAGCGUCAUUUGUACCUUCAAGCACUGCUUGGUGUUGGGUGUCUUGUCCCGCGUUCCGCGUUGGACUCACCUUAAAGUUAUUGGCAGCCGGCAUACUAGCCUUGGAGCGCAGCACAUUUUGCGCCCCUUGACCUGCGUGUUGGCAUCCAUUAAGCCUACAAUUUUUACUCUUGACCUCGGAUCAGGUAGGGAUACCCGCUGAACUUAA